GACGAACGCUGGCGGCGUGCUUAACACAUGCAAGUCGAACGAAGUGGCGAACGGGUGAGUAAUACGUGGGUAACCUGCCCUCAUUUUUGGGAUAAGCCUUGGACACGGGGUCUAAUACCGAAUCAAGGGGGAUGGGCUCGCGGCCUAUCAGCUUGUUGGUGGGGUGAUGGGCUACCAAGGCGGUGACGGGUAGCCGGCCUGAGAGGGUGAACGGCCAGAUUGGGACUGGGGUAAGGGCCAGAAUCCCAAGGGAGGGAGCAGUGGGGGAUAUUGCAAAAUGGGGGAAAGGCUGAUGCAGGGACGCCGCGGGGGGGAUGAAGGCUUUCGGGUUGGAAAACUUUUUCGGUAACGAAAGGGUAGGUGGAGAAGAAGCGCCGGCUAACUACGUGCCAGCAGCCGCGGUAAUAC
rnacentral:rRNA from 1 species